GGGGACGAUAUCAGGUUUCGACGGAAAGCACUUUUAAAAACUGCAAGCCGAGUUUGGUUUACACUCGUUAAAAAAGAACCAAAAAAUACAAGCAAGACUUAAAAGUCAAGCUCUAGCUUUCGCAACCUUGUUUCGUAACGGAAGCUUUGCUACCGCUUACGCAAGCGCGUAACUAGUGUCCACUGAAAUUGCUUCUCAACCAAAUCAGUUGGGCAUAAACCCGUUGAGAUAGACUAAUAGCCAAAGACUAAUAGCUAAUAGCCGAAGUCCAAAAAGUCUUACUUUUAAUCAUCCUGCUAAUAGGUAAGGUUAAGAGGAAAUUAAAAGAUUAGCUAAGCUUGUAGAAGUUUUUAAAAUAACUUUUUCGGACGAGGGUUCAACUCCCUCCGUCUCCACCA
rnacentral:tmRNA from 1 species